AUAAAGCGCACGCGCGCGGCACGGAACGUAGCGGUGAAUUGCACGGGGGAGGCGCCGGGACACUCCGGCCUAUCAAGGCGGCGGUGCAUUGGGCGUGUGUGUGAAGGGCGAAAAGCCUGGAAAGAUGGACACUGGGAACAGCACGUGCUUCUACGUUUUUAUCUUUUAUUGAAAAGGCGUAUAAGCCCCGUUAGAGGCGCCGGGGGGGCCGCCUCUUGCAGGGCAGAGGAGCGCGCUGGGCGCUGCCGGCCCUCCUCUUCGUGGGGCGUCGGGAACCCCCAGCCGAGCGCUUCCUGCCCCGGCCGCGAGCGGAGGAGCCGCGGCUGCGGCCCUGCUCAGAGGGACCGGCAGCCUCGGGACCCGGCUGGCCAGGAGUUCCCCUGGAUGUGCCGGGGAGCUCCUCUGUGUUGGGACCCGUGGAGCUGCUGGUGGGCGCGGCUCUGGGGGCGGUGGUCUCCUGAGGAGAGGCAGCAGGACCAGAAGGGGCCGCAGGGCCAUCCUCGUGCUCCUGGGCAGCGCUGGGGUCUUCGGGCUCAUCCUCGUGCUCCUGGCUGGCACUAGGGUCUUCGAGGCCCAGCAGCCUCUGGGCCUCCUGGCCACACAGUCUCUGGAUGGCUUCAAUGGUGAUGUCAACGAGCUGUCCUGUGGUGGGUCCCAGGAUGCCCUCUAAGUGUUGCACCAGGGCAUCCCUGUCCAGCCCCACCUGGCACAGCAAUGCCAGGAUAAUGCUCUUUAGCCACUUGAUUUGCCACCAGCGCAGCACGUGGAUGUGUGACAGCUGCUGCUCCAUCAAGGGCAGCACUGGGUUGAGAAUGUCUUGCCUCUCCCUGAAAAGUGCUGCCCACUCCUCUGGCACGAGGCCGCCCACUCUCUCCAGCUCUUCAGCCUCCUGCUCAGGGAAUGGUGGUGGAGGGGGUGGAAGGAAUUCCUCAGCGCUAUCAGGGCCAGUGUCAGUGGUGGUGCUGAAGCUGAUGGGCACUGGCACUGCGGGCGGGGAGACGAUGCACUCCACGUACUGAUUGUCUCCCCUCACAGAGACCCGGAUGGUCUGCAUAGCUGUCCUGCACAGCGGGCAGCUGUCCCUCAGCCUUGCCCACCGCUGGAUGCAGCCAAGGCAGAACAUGUGAUUGCAUGGAGUUGUAUAGGCAACAUCCUGUCGCACAUCGCGGCAGACGGGACAUUUCCAUGCCUCUGCAGCCAUGAUCUUCUUGCUGCAGUGGGCAGGGAGAACUGAGGAUGAUGAGUUGUUCUCCACCGCCGGAGCUACAGCAGUGGUGUCUCACUCUGCAAGUGGAAAGGAGGUCACAGUCACUCGCUGUCCCAGGGUGUGAAAGUCCUCAGCAGGAAGCCCUCCCAAGCCCAUGACUGGGCCAUCUUGUGCUCCCCGCUGGCACAGGGCCAGGCUCCCCACGGCUGCCCUGAGGGACCCAGGUGUCCCCACACCACUCACCUCCACUGCUGCAGGUGUGCUCGGUAGGGUCCCGGCUGCCUGCACAAGGCAGGGCCAGGAAACAGAAGCAAUACUGCAGGGUCAGGCACUGAGAUGCAGCAAGCAGCCCCAGGCACGACCAGUACAGCACAGCCAAAACCUUGCUCGACCUCCAAGCCUCGCAGAGCUGCUCAGCAGGGUCCAGGAACGAGCCAGACUGAGCCAGGCCCUGCCAGCACCCCACUAUGAGCAGUGAGGGCUAUGCUGUCACAAUCCGUCACCCGGUGAUGUCACAGCCUGUUGCUUGGGGACAUCACCACGGGCUGUCCGCCCCCACAGCACCCACCCAUGUUUCAGAUAUUACCUCCUUUUCCUGCUCCUGAUUUGCUGUACCUUCCCCUUAAUUCCUGUCCCCCUUUUAUGCUGUACAUUUGACAUUAAUGCACAGGCCUUUUGUUUUCUCUGAUUAAACUGACUCUAACUGUUC
ensembl:lncRNA